CACGUAGGGUGCGAGCGUUGUCCGGAAUUAUUGGGCGUAAAGAGCUCGUAGGCGGUGUGUCGCGUCGGCCGUGAAAACCUGCAGCUUAACUGUGGGCGUGCGGUCGAUACGGGCAUCACUGGAGUUCGGCAGGGGAGACUGGGAUUCCUGGUGUAGCGGUGAAAUGCGCAGAUAUCAGGAGGAACACCGGUGGCGAAGGCGGGUCUCUGGGCCGAUACUGACGCUGAGGAGCGAAAGCGUGGGGAGCGAACAGG
rnacentral:rRNA from 1 species